ensembl:snRNA U5 U5 spliceosomal RNA
UUGCUUGGGCUUCUCUUCAUCACGUACAAAUCGUUUAGCUUUUACUAAAGAUUUCCAUGGAGAGGGUCAACAAGCUCACAUUUUUGGAGCUCUGUUUUGACAGAGCU